UUUCCACGCUGCCUUUGAUUUUCCUUCCACUCUCACCGGAAAAGAAAGUUUGUAAUUCGCUGCAGAAAUGUUGGAAUACGAAUGGGGAAACCCGUCAACGAUGAUACUCAACGGAGACGAACCAACCCCAGACCCAGACCAGAACCGCCAGAUUUUCGAUCAUUACACCGCUCAAUCCUUCAACGAUAACCUCGUUCCCCAACCCACUACAACCUUAUUUCACCACCCAACUACACAUCAAGUCAACUCCCUUUAUGACCCACGCGCCUACACCGGCGCCUCCUACACAACUACC
rnacentral:misc_RNA from 1 species